GUACAAGUGGCAUAGUGGUUGGAGCGUUGGACUAGAAUGACUAUGUCCAGGGUUCAAUUCCCUGCUUGGCCA